rnacentral:rRNA from 1 species
AGAUUGAACGCUGGCGGCAUGCUUUACACAUGCAAGUCGAACGGCAGCACGGGGGCAACCCUGGUGGCGAGUGGCGAACGGGUGAGUAAUGCAUCGGAACGUAUCUUUAAGUGGGGGAUAACGCAUCGAAAGAUGCGCUAAUACCGCAUAAUCUCUGAGGAGAAAAGCAGGGGAUCGCAAGACCUUGCGCUUUUGGAGCGGCCGAUGUCUGAUUAGCUAGUUGGUGGGGUAAAGGCUUACCAAGGCUUCGAUCAGUAGCUGGUCUGAGAGGACGACCAGCCACACUGGAACUGAGACACGGUCCAGACUCCUACGGGAGGCAGCAGUGGGAAUUUGGACAAGUGGGCGCAAGCCUGAUCCAGCAAUGCCGCGUGAGUGAAGAGGCCUUGGGUUGUAAGUCUACUUUGUCGUAGGAAGAAGGUGAGG